ACGGGAGGCAGCAGUGGGGAAUUUUGCGCAAUGGGGGCAACCCUGACGCAGCAACGCCGCGUGCGGGAUGACGGCCUUCGGGUUGUAAACCGCUUUCAGUGGGAAAGAUUAUGACGGUACCCACAGAAGAAGCUCCGGCUAACUACGUGCCAGCAGCCGCGGUAAUACGUAGGUGGCAAGCGUUAUCCGGAUUUACUGGGUGUAAAGGGCGCGUAGGCGGGGAUGCAAGUCAGAUGUGAAAUCUAUGGGCUUAACUCAUAAACUGCAUUUGAAACUGUAUCUCUUGAGUGCUGGAGAGGUAGAUGGAAUUCCUUGUGUAGCGGUGAAAUGCGUAGAUAUAAGGAAGAACACCAGUGGCGAAGGCGAUCUACUGGACAGUAACUGACGCUGAGGCGCGAAAGCGUGGGGAGCAAACAGGAUUAGAUACCCUGGUA
rnacentral:rRNA from 1 species